rnacentral:rRNA from 1 species
GAUGAACGCUAGCUACAGGCUUAACACAUGCAAGUCGAGGGGAAACGACAUCGAAAGCUUGCUUUUGAUGGGCGUCGACCGGCGCACGGGGGAGUAACGCGUAUCCAACCUGCCCACCACUUGGGGAUAACCUUGCGAAAGUAAGACUAAUACCCAAUGAUAUCUCUAGAAGACAUCUGAAAGAGAUUAAAGAUUUAUCGGGGAUGGAGGGGGAUGCGUCUGAUUAGCUUGUUGGCGGGGUAACGGCCCACCAAGGCAACGAUCAGUAGGGGUUCUGAGAGGAAGGUCCCCCACAUUGGAACUGAGACACGGUCCAAACUCCUACGGGAGGCAGCAGUGAGGAAUAUUGGUCAAUGGACGAGAGUCUGAACCAGCCAAGUAGCGUGCAGGAAGACGGCCCUAUGGGUUGUAAACUGCUUUUAUAAGGGAAUAAAGUGAGUCUCGUGAGACUUUUUGCAUGUACCUUAUGAAUAAGGACCGGCUAAUUCCGUG